UGACGCUGAAACAUCUUGCAAGUGUCUUCCGGGUGAAUGACACCGUGUAAGAGGCAACAAGUCUUUCUGCUCGCUGGUUUCCGAACGAGCUGCUAGCGACCUAAACAUGAGAAGAAGCAGCCCUCGGCUAAGAGACAUGUAUGAACAAAAUCAGCUGCAGCCUCUCACUCACAGUGUGAACACCUGGUUGAUAUCAAGGACAGAGAUGAUCCAGAAAGAGUCUGUCCUGUGGUCUGCAGCCACUGGUUUCAUGAAACAUGUGGAGAAGACUCAUUGAUGAUGAUGAUGGUCUCUCACCUGUACGGACUGUUUGUUUCCUGAGUAGCCCCA